rnacentral:ncRNA from 1 species
AAUUAUAGUUAAGUAACUAGACAAAUAAAUCCUGUAACUUUGGAAUAAAGGAUGGCGUAUUGAAUCAAUCAUUUAAUACGUAACACAGAAAGAAGCAUGAGACUAUUUUACUAAAGACACAGCACCUUACUAAGGAAUAAUCCUGUAUGUAAGGAGUGAUGUUAGCCCAGUGUUAUACCUAAUGAUCCACGGCAGGUUUAAACUCUGAGGCUAUUU